rnacentral:rRNA from 1 species
UUCCAUCUACCUGUGCUGUCCAGUUGGAACGUUGCUUGGCACCACCACAUGCCCCCGUCUGCUGUUGAGACGGGCACGGACCGGUCGAGAUGGUCUGUGGGCACGGGACAACACUGAGCGGACGGCUACCCUGCGAGCACUCUGUGCUUUGGGGUGUUCUCCGUCGAUGGUGCUUGGUAUACUGACUCGUUGCUGAGCAUAGUGAUAAUAAAAGCCUGAGGUUUGGCUGCGAGGCAAUUGAGUUGGUGGCGGACCGCCUCGCUGGUGGGUUUGCUGUACCGUCGAAGGGAGCACGCUCGUUGGGUAACCCAACGGCUGUGCUGGUGUCUGUGCGUCGUUGAGCGGUUGUUGUGCCUGGCACAUGUGACACACUGGCCUGGGAAGGUGGUUCUUUCCUGGCCUUACGAACCGUAACUAGCGGUGUGUCUGUGCUUGUGUGCUACGUCCGUGGCCGUGAUGAGACGACGUGGUAGGGUCCGUGCUCUGCUUAUAGCACGUGGCUUAAGACUUAAUGAGUGUCAGCUAGGCACCGCCAGUGUUUUUUUUCAUUUAUUUUUUUGACCACUUCUUUGUUGAAGGAAGAAAUUCUAGUCUUAUCGGUGGAUCACUCGGCUCGUGGAUCGAUGAAGAACGCAGCCAACUGCGAUAAUUAGUGCGAACUGCAGAAACCUUGAACACAAAACUUUCGAAUGCACAUUGCGCCAUUGGAGUUACAUCCAUUGGCACGCCUGGUUCAGGGUCGUUAUCAUAAAAGGCACUGCUGUGCCUGUUAUGUUGGUGAGAUCAUGUCUGCAGGACGUGUUCUUGCGCUAUUCUUGAAAAUGCUCGGCCGUGGAGUGUGGUUGUGUUGGCGCGAAACUGUCAGGUUCUUUCGCGUUUUACGGUCCGUAACUAGGGCGCAACUGCUCUCCAUGUGUGCUGGGUGGAAUGCUUCGCUGGUAGGCAUUCCGUGUUUGAAUUUUCGACCUGAACUCAGACGUGAGUACCCGCUG